GACGAACGCUGGCGGCGUGCCUAAUACAUGCAAGUAGAACGCUGAAGCGAGGAGCUUGCUCUUCUUGGAUGAGUUGCGAACGGGUGAGUAACGCGUAGGUAACCUGCCUUGUAGCGGGGGAUAACUAUUGGAAACGAUAGCUAAUACCGCAUAACAAUGGAUGACCCAUAUCAUUUAUUUGAAAGGGGCAAAUGCUCCACUACAAGAUGGACCUGCGUUGUAUUAGCUAGUAGGUGAGGUAACGGCUCACCUAGGCGACGGUACAUAGCCGACCUGAGAGGGUGAACGGCCCAACUGGGACUGAGACACGGCCCAAACUCCUAAGGGAGGCAACAGGAGGGAAUCAUCGGCAAUGGGGGCAACGCUGACCGAGCAACGCCGGGUGAGUGAAGGAGGUUUUCGGAUCUGAAAGCUCUGUUGUAAGUCAAGAACGAGUGGGAGAGUGGAAAGUUCACGCUGUGACGGUAGCUUACCAGAAAGGGACGGCUAACUACGUG
rnacentral:rRNA from 1 species